rnacentral:rRNA from 1 species
UACGUAGGGUGCAAGCGUUGUCCGGAAUUAUUGGGCGUAAAGAGCUCGUAGGCGGUUUGUCGCGUCGAAUGUGAAAACCCGGGGCUCAACCCCGGGCCUGCAUUCGAUACGGGCAGACUAGAGUUCGGUAGGGGGAGUCUGGAAUUCCUGGUGUAGCGGUGAAAUGCGCAGAUAUCAGGAGGAACACCGGUGGCGAAGGCGGUUCUCGUGGGCAUGUCCUGACGCUGGAGGAGCGAAACGUGUGGGGAGCGAACAGG